rnacentral:rRNA from 1 species
GACCUCGUGCUAUGAGAUGAGCCUGCGUCGGAUUAGCUAGUUGGUAGGGUAAUGGCCUACCAAGGCGACGAUCCGUAGCUGGUCUGAGAGGACGAUCAGCCACACUGGGACUGAGACACGGCCCAGACUCCUACGGGAGGCAGCAGUGGGGAAUAUUGGACAAUGGGGGAAACCCUGAUCCAGCAAUGCCGCGUGUGUGAAGAAGGCCUUCGGGUUGUAAAGCACUUUCAGUGGGGAAGAAAUUCUCAAGGCUAAUACCCUUUUGAGCGUUGACGUUACCCACAGAAGAAGCACUGGCUAACUCUGUGCCAGCAGCCGCGGUAAUACAGAGAGUGCAAGCGUUAAUCGGAAUCACUGGGCGUAAAGCGCGCGUAGGUGGAUAUUUAAGUCGGAUGUGAAAGCCCUAGGCUUAACCUGGGAAUUACAUCCGAUACUAGGUAUCUCGAGUAUGAUAGAGGGAAGUGGAAUUUCCGGUGUAGCGGUGAAAUGCGUAGAUAUCGGAAAGAACAUCAGUGGCGAAGGCGGCUUCCUGGAGCAAUACUGACACUGAGGCGCGAAAGCGUGGGGAGCAAACAGGAUUAGAGACCCUGGUAGUCCACGCCGUCAACGAUGAGAACUAGCUGUUGGGGAGUUUAAUUUCUAGUAGCAAAGCUAACGCGUUAAGUUCUCCGCCUGGGGAGUACGGCCGCAAGGUUAAAACUCAAAGAAAUUGACGGGGGCCCGCACAAGCGGUGGAGCAUGUGGUUUAAUUCGAUGCAACGCGAAAAACCUUACCUACCCUUGACAUCCUCGGAACUUGUCAGAAAUGACUUGGUGCCUUUGGGAACCGAGUGACAGGUGCUGCAUGGCUGUCGUCAGCUCGUGUCGUGAGAUGUUGGGUUAAGUCCCGUAACGAGCGCAACCCUCGUCCUUAGUUGCCAGCGGUUCGGCCGGGAACUCUAAGGAGACUGCCGGUGAUAAACCGGAGGAAGGUGAGGAUGAUGUCAAGUCAUCAUGGCCCUUACGGGUAGGGCUACACACGUGCUACAAUGGGCAGUACAAAGGGUUGCCAAACCGUGAGGUAAAGCUAAUCCCAAAAAGCUGCUCGUAGUCCGGAUUGGAGUCUGCAACUCGACUCCAUGAAGUUGGAAUCGCUAGUAAUCGCGAAUCAGAAUGUCGCGGUGAAUACGUUCUCGGGCCUUGUACACACCGCCCGUCACACCAUGGGAGUG